AGCGAACGCUGGCGGCAGGCCUAACACAUGCAAGUCGAGCGGACGUAGCAAUACGUCAGCGGCAGACGGGAGAGUAACACGUGGGAACGCGCCCUUCAGUUCGGAAUAACUCAGGGAAACUUGGGCUAAUACCGGAUACGCCCUUACGGGGAAAGAUUUAUUGCCGAAGGAACGGCCCGCGUCCGAUUAGCUUGUUGGUGAGGUAACGGCUCACCAAGGCGACGAUCGGUAGCUGGUCUGAGAGGAUGACCAGCCUCACUGGGACUGAGUCACGGCCCAGACUCCUACGGGAGGCAGCAGUGGGGAAUAUUGGACAAUGGGCGCAAGCCUGAUCCAGCCAUGCCGCGUGGGUGAUGAAGGCCCUAGGGUUGUAAAGCUCUUUUGUGCGGGAAGGUAAUGACGGUACCGCAAGAAUAAGCCCCGGCUAACUUCGUGCCAGCAGCCGCCGUAA
rnacentral:rRNA from 1 species